rnacentral:rRNA from 1 species
GACGAACGCUGGCGGCGUGCUUAACACAUGCAAGUCGAACGAAGAGCGAUGGAAGCUUGCUUCUAUCAAUCUUAGUGGCGAACGGGUGAGUAACGCGUAAUCAACCUGCCCUUCAGAGGGGGACAACAGUUGGAAACGACUUCUAAUACCGCAUACGAUCUAACCUCGGCAUCGAGGAAAGAUGAAAGGUGGCCUCUAUGUAUAAGCUAUCACUGAAGGAGGGGAUUGCGUCUGAUUAGCUAGUUGGAGGGGUAACGGCCCACCAAGGCGAUGAUCAGUAGCCGGUCUGAGAGGAUGAACGGCCACAUUGGGACUGAGACACGGCCCAGACUCCUACGGGAGGCAGCAGUGGGGAAUCUUCCGCAAUGGACGAAAGUCUGACGGAGCAACGCCGCGUGAGUGAUGACGGCCUUCGGGUUGUAAAGCUCUGUUAAUCGGGACGAAAGGCCUUCUUGCGAAUAGUGAGAAGGAUUGACGGUACCGGAAUAGAAAGCCACGGCUAACUACGUG